rnacentral:lncRNA from 1 species
UGAUGAAAAAAAAUAUCAAAAUAACUUUUAUUUAUUUAUAAUUCAUGUACUAAUACAAAAAGAGCACAACCAUUAACAGACUGACGAUUGGCUUUGGGACACUAUUCCCAACAGCUUGUCCACCACUUCGACCAUUUCUUGGAGAUGAUCUGCGAAGCUUGGCAAAUUUCAAGGGAGGUCGAAGAAAAGGCUGCUCAUGCCACUCGA